UGAUAUGGUGGAUUAUGUAGGAGAGCUUUUAGCUCGCCGUUUCCAGUAGGCGGUACGCCAAUCCUGCAUAAUCCAUCACCCUA
rnacentral:antisense_RNA from 1 species